rnacentral:rRNA from 1 species
GAUGAACGCUAGCGAUAGGCUUAACACAUGCAAGUCGAGGGGCAGCAUGGUCUUAGCUUGCUAAGACUGAUGGCGACCGGCGCACGGGUGCGUAACGCGUAUGCAACUUGCCUCACAGAGGGGGAUAACCCGUCGAAAGACGGACUAAUACCGCGUACACUCCAUCUUGGGCAUCCAAGGUAGAGGAAAUGAAAUUCGCUGUGAGAUAGGCAUGCGUCCCAUUAGCUAGUUGGUGAGGUAACGGCUCACCAAGGCGACGAUGGGUAGGGGAACUGAGAGGUUGAACCCCCACACUGGUACUGAGACACGGACCAGACUCCUACGGGAGGCAGCAGUGAGGAAUAUUGGUCAAUGGGCGAGAGCCUGAACCAGCCACGUCGCGUGAAGGAUGACUGUCUUAUGGAUUGUAAACUUCUUUUAUACGGGAAUAACAAGAGUCACGUGUGACUCCCUGCAUGUACCGUAUGAAUAAGCAUCGGCUAACUCCGUG